CCUGCUAAAGCAGACACAGGAAAGAAUGUUUUCCUGAAGCAGACGCAGGUGAAAGGAGAUAGCAAGACGUGAAAGAAUGCUUGAUGAAGGAAUAUAAAUAUGACCCACAGACAGUGUGAGAUGAGCACUGAGCAUUGGUUUGGUUUGCUAGGCCUUGCUAUUUUUCACCAGCAACAUUAAUAUAUUGGUUCACCUUAUAUAGUGUUGUGAAGUUCAACUUGUGAUAAUGCAGCCAUUGCGAGAAACUAGCUCAAGAACUGCUUGCGAGGUCCCCAGGCGAUGCAGCUUACCACUUCCUCAGCUUCACCUCAGUAGACAAUACAAUCUCUGGGACCAUAAUGUGAUCAAAUAUCCUGCAACAUCAGUCAUCAAGAAAACAAAUAAGCAUAAAUUUUGGAUCUCAGUCUGUGUCCCAGGCUGACCUGGAUCUUAUGAAGCUGCCCUCAAGCCCACUGCAAUUCAUUUACCUCAGCUUGCUAAUUACUGAAACCACAGUAUGGGUCACCAUUUCUAGCCUGCUUGUUUGUUUUCAUGAGAGUAGCCAUAUUGAGCAUGAGGUCAACUCAGAAUUGGGAACAGCAAAGAGUCCCUGAGAAAAGAAACUGACACCCUGGAUCUGGCUGUCCUGAGCUGUGCCAUCCAUCCCAUGACUUGCAUCUAAAAGGGAACACAUGCUAUUAUUUAUGUGAGCUUGAGCAAGGUCCAUGACAUGCAUCUAAAGGUAUCUUAAAGUGAAAUUCUAUGUUUAAAUGGAUAUUUUCUUUAUGGUAGCAACAUGAUCUAGAGCAGGGUUGUCAAAUAGAACAUUUUGAGAUGAUGAAUGUUGUCUUUACAAUGUAGAUGGACACAGUCCUCAUUUGUUGGUUGAAAAAUUGAAAUUUGCUGCUUCAGGCCUGGGUGGAUUACUGGGUAGUGAGAGGGUUUCCUAUGAAGGCAAGAUAACCUGGAUUCUAACCCUCAGUAACCAUACAGAAUCCAAGCAUGGCUGCACACACUUGCAACAUCAGUGUUGGGUUUAUUUCAAGAACUCUCUGGCCAGAUAUUCUAGAACAAAUGACAAACUUCAGACUCAGUGAGAGAACUUGUCUUAAAAACUAAUAUGGGGUGAUACAGGAAGACAUCCAGUAUUUAGUUUGCACAUAAAUAUGUGGACUCCAUACCCACAUUCAACCUUAUACAAAUACACAAAGAGAAAGAAGGAUGUCAAUGCAACACAGGACCUGAAGUUCUAAUUUAAGUUGGUUUUCAUUCAUUUAAGUUCAAAUAGACUUAGACUCAUGUCUCUUUAGGGAGUGUCUUUUCAGAGGUAGGUGAGUCAGCUUUCUGAUUGCCGAAGUGACUACCACACUCUUCUAAACUUUUGUCUUCCACAUGAUCAUUAGUAGCUGCUCUCUUUCUUUCCUUCCUUCCUUCCUUCCUUCCUUCCUUCCUUCCUUCCUUCCUUCCUUCCUUCCUUCCUUCCUCCCUCCCUCCCUCCCUCCCUCCCUCCCUCCCUCCCUCCCUUCUCUCUCUCUCUCUCUCUCUCUCUCUCUCUCUCUCUCUCUCUCUCUCGUUGUUUGUUUGUUUUUUUUUUGAGACAGAGUUUCUCUGUGUAGCUCUGGCUGUCUUGGAACUCACUCUGUAGCCCAGGCUGGCCUUGAACUCAGAAAUCUGCCUGUGUCUGCCUCUUAAGUGCUAGGAUUAAAGGUGUGCGCCACCACUGCCCAGCCAUAGCUGUUCUUUCAUUUUGUAUGUUGGUAAAUAAUUCUAAAUAAAACAAAAUUUGUUUAACCUGAAAUAUCUAUGGAACUAACUGUCUGUCUGUCUGUCUGCCUCUCUCUCUCUCUCUCUCUCUCUCUCUGUGUGUGUGUGUGUGUGUAUACAUGCUGCCUAUACAUGCAUGUCUAUGUAGUACUGAAAGCUUUCUAGUUGCUCAGAUUUGUCUAUCGUGUAAUGGGUUUAAGAAAAGUAAGUAUGUAUUUAUUCCUUGCCAAACAACCUAAGUCAAAUACAUCCAAAAACAACCCUCAGCAGUGAAGAGCAACAUGUCAUUUUAUAUUGAUAUGUGUAAGUGUUAAACACUUAGAAGGGGAAAACGUAGGCAGCCUUCUUUCACUAAUUCCAGCCAACAUAGAUCCUCAGGAGGAUGUGAAGACACUUGGAUCACACCAUGUGCAAAAUGAGUCAUCAGCUGAUACCUGAAGAUUGCCUGGUUUGAUUUUACAAAUAAUGUCAUGGGUGCUUUAUACUUAAAACAUCACCAAGAAAAGCUCCAUAAAUUGCCAGGUGCUUAACUAAUAGCAACUCAUUAACUUCUGAAUAUAGUCUCUACACGUUCUAUUCGUUAUAGGAUUAUAAGAAUAUUCUCCAAUUUAACUUGAAGUACCUUUUACAGUUAAAAAUAUCUGAAAGCAUUUUGGAAAUAAAGUGUAUGGUGUUAGCAUAGUAUACUAUUUUAGGGAUUAUGACCCAGAAUAAAAUGGUUAAAUAAACCACAUUCAAACUAUUAGAUUACUGACUAGAUUUUCAGAUUUCUAGCAGAAAGGAAAUAGAACUCAAAAGAAAAUUAAUUAGUCUACCUAAGAAAGUCCACAGCAUCUUUGAUAAGCUAUCAGACAAACAGAGCCUCCUCUGAAAAACAAGAAAGCAACCCAGGCUUGAAUAAACUUCUGGCAGCUUGUCUGUACCUUAUACUCAAGGAUGCAGACAGCCUUCAGGAAGAUGAUAUGAACUGUCAGGUUCAGCCUGCUGUAAUUGGAGUGUAUAUUGACUUCGGUCAGUUAGUAUAAAGAACAUCAACUCCCCAAGUGCUCACAUUGAUGGAGAUGUGAUAACUGAAGAUUGUCCUUAAGAUGUCUGCCACUUGAAGAAAGGUUUCUCUCCAGUACUUAGGAGGAAUUUUAUAUUUCUGUUCCAGAUGCAGUCUAAUAUGAGUUACUUCUUGACUAUUAAACAUACGUUUAUAAUAGGGUACUUUAUUUGAUCAUAUUCUGUCAUUUACUCAGUUGAAGCUGAGUGAUUACAAACAUAUAGAGGCUAGAAACAACUAAAAAUUUUUUUUGGGGGGGGGAA